rnacentral:rRNA from 1 species
GACGAACGCUGGCGGCGUGCUUAACACAUGCAAGUCGAACGGAAAGGCCCUGCUUUUGUGGGGUGCUCGAGUGGCGAACGGGUGAGUAACACGUGAGUAACCUGCCCUUGACUUUGGGAUAACUUCAGGAAACUGGGGCUAAUACCGGAUAGGAGCUCCUGCUGCAUGGUGGGGGUUGGAAAGUUUCGGCGGUUGGGGAUGGACUCGCGGCUUAUCAGCUUGUUGGUGGGGUAGUGGCUUACCAAGGCUUUGACGGGUAGCCGGCCUGAGAGGGUGACCGGCCACAUUGGGACUGAGAUACGGCCCAGACUCCUACGGUAGGCAGCAGUGGGGAAUAUGGCACAAUGGGCGGAAGCCUGAUGCAGCAACGCCGCGUGCGGGAUGACGGCCUUCGGGUUGUAAACCGCUGUCGCCUGUGACGAAGCGUGAGUGACGGUAAUGGGUAAAGAAGCACCGGCUAACUACGUG